rnacentral:rRNA from 1 species
AGCGGCGAACGGGUGAGUAACACGUGGAUAACCUGCCUGGAAGUGGGGGAUAACCUGGGGAAACUUGGGCUAAUACCGCAUACGUUCUCGGGAUCUUGGUCUCGAGUGCAAAGAUGGCCUCUGCUUGCAAGCUAUCGCUACCAGAGGGGUCCGCGUCUGAUUAGCUAGUUGGUAGGGUAAUGGCCUACCAAGGCUUCGAUCAGUAGCCGGCCUGAGAGGGUGAUCGGCCACACUGGAACUGAGACACGGUCCAGACUCCUACGGGAGGCAGCAGUGGGGAAUAUUGGACAAUGGGCGCAAGCCUGAUCCAGCAACGCCGCGUGGAGGAUGAAGGUCUUCGGAUUGUAAACUCCUGUCAGAUGGGAAGAACAACUGUCGGCAAAUAGUCGACAGUUUUGACUGUACCAUCGGAGGAAGCCCCGGCCAACUCUGUGCCAGCAGCCGCGGUAAUACAGAGGGGGCAAGCGUUAUUCGGAAUUAUUGGGCGUAAAGGGCGCGUAGGUGGCUUGGUAAGUCAAAGGUGAAAUCCCUCGGCUCAACCGAGGAACUGCCUUUGAUACUGCCAGACUUGAGGCCGGGAGAGGGUAGCGGAAUUCCCAGUGUAGCGGUGAAAUGCGUAGAUAUUGGGAGGAACACCGGUGGCGAAGGCGGCUACCUGGACCGGUUCUGACACUGAGGUGCGAAAGCGUGGGGAUCAAACAGGAUUAGAUACCCUGGUAGUCCACGCUGUAAACGAUGGGUACUCGG